GGGAUACAGUUCUUGACUGGGAGGUAUUUUCUGGAUUUUAUACAAUUUAUUAUAAAAUGCAUUAAAACUCAGUUCUUAAGAUACAUGGAAAAAUUAUGUAGAUAGCUUCCAUCAUGAUGGAAAUAUUGCACAAGAAAAGGUUUGUGGUCUGAAUUCUAGAUCAAUUAUUAACUUCUCUAAUUUCUGCUGCUUUUUUUUUUUCUCUAGGAAGUGAAUGAAGUGAAAUUAGCAUCUGCCUUUGUUAUUCAUGUUUUAUCUCCCUCAUUCGGUUUACACCCAUAUUGUGUAAUCCUGUGGUCAAAUUAAGCAAACUGCAAGUCUUUUGAUGGUACAAGAUGGAGACUGGAAGUAGUGUAAAAUGUGAUUAAAUAUGAAUGCAACCACAAGUUUUCACUGAGAAAAUUUGGCAAAGGUUUUGGAUUUGAUGGGGAUAUGUGUGGAUGCAACUUUUAGCCAAUUUAUGUAUUGAACUUUAGAAGGUCAGCUACAACCUGUCGCUUGAAAAUGGAAAAACAGUUCUUUGAUGCUCAUAUAUGCAUAACUGUUGGUGAUAAAUCUAAAGGGUGCCUCAACUCAAGUAUAAAAAACUCCAAAAAUGAUAGUGACCAUGAAAUCAAAAUCAGUGUUUAGUGAUUGGGAUUUGGGACUAAAAAAACCCGACGGACUAACUUGAUUUUGAUAGCUUGUUUUCUUCCUUUUGCUCCAUGAAAUUUAUUGAAAAACACAUGUAGCUCAGAAAUUCUCUUCUCUUUCUCCCUCUCUCUCUUCUCUCUCUCAAAUGGACAUUCAUAACAACAAAACUUUCAAUAGAUGCCCGAGAAAAAAAUGGAGAACUUCUAAAGUUUAUGGUGCCUUUCCUCUAAACCUCAUCUAAACGGUGUAUGGUACAGGUAUCCUUGUGCAAGAAGACCCAUCAAGGAAUAUGAGAUCUCAAAUACAUCCUAAAACAUUUUUAUCUAACUGAUUCUUUCUACAGGCCAUCCAAUCUUCAGA
rnacentral:misc_RNA from 1 species